GUCCAUCUCUUGAAAACAAAGGGCACAGAAGUCUCUUGAUGUCGAUGAUAUAAAUUUUCAAACAUGUACACGUGCUGAGGGGCCAUAAAAAGCUUUCACUCUUACACAAGCAGCUCUAUUUUACGAAAUAAAAGCCCCUCCUCGAAAGCAGAUUUGUGUUAUUUUCACCGCUUUCAUCCAGGAACGCACAAUAAACGGUACGUGAGAGGCUCCUUUGUUCAUGCUACCUGUAAUAUUGCUUCCAUUUUGUCUUAAACAUCAACAUGGUUCUCACAUUCUAAUGUGCUUCAAUUCAUAACACUUGUGUUUUUUAGAUAUGGCGAAACACAGCAUUAGCCUUCUGAGCGCCGUGGUGCUGGCAUUGAUUUUCUUCAUCAUCACCAUGGCGUUCACUGCUCUGGCAGGGCCGGGAAUACAUCCAUUUUUGCGGAGCACCGCUAAUAUUUCAGAUGAGUUUGUGACACAGAUCACACCAUCAGGAUGGACCUUUGCCAUUUGGUCAAUCAUUUACAUCUUCCUGGCCUCAGUGUUGCUCUACCUCUUAUCUGGCAUCUUCAGAAAGAAUGCCUAUGGCUACGUGUACUGCAGCCCUCCUGUUCUGCCACACGGAUUUUUCGUGGCCUGGUGUCUGAACCUGGCCUUGAACACCGGAUGGUUGUUCCUGUGGGACAGAAGGCAGAUGCCCGCUGCUCUGGCUUUCCUCAUCCUGAUCGCCUUGACGAACUACGUCGUGAUAUUCUUCUCCUGCCACGGUCUCCACAACUAUGGGGCCUGGCUCAACAAAUAUCACAAAGUGGACCUGUGGCUCCACCGUGUGUUGAUUCAAAAUGGUGUUGCCAUAUAUGCAACAUGGACGACCAUUGCAUCCAUGAUCAACCUGGCUAUUGUGCUGAAUUAUAAUGCGAGCCUGUCCCCGACGGACGCUGCCACCGUCUCUCUCUCCAUUUUGACCGCAGUGUUAAUUGUGUGGUUUAUCCUGGAAAACUUUGUCCUCGACAAACAUGUGAGGUUCAUUCUCACCAUUUACCCGGUUGUGAUCUGGGCGCUGACGGGGGUGUUCAUGAAAAACUACAAUGCUGAAGAUCCUGAUCACAAUGAUAUUUUCAUUGUCUCCCUGUUGGCGAUAGCGUGUGCCUUGUUUGUCGGGCGGGUGUUUCUUGUCAUCUGGCGUCAAAUCAAAUAUCCACUUUACGAAGAUGUCAACCCUGAGGCCAUGUCUCCGAUGGAUAUCGCCGAGAUGCAGAGAAAGAUAUUCAAGUGAGCAAUGCUGACUGAAUAUUUUUCUGGUACUGUACUGUGUGUAUGGAUUCAGUGUGGUUCCUGUACGAGUUGUACUUACUAAAUGCUCUGUAUACGUUGUGAUGAUGACUUUUGCCUUGGAGACACCGCUGACACACAGAAUGAAGCUUCAUAAUAUAAAUGGGAUAUGAAAUUCUAAGACGCUGAAAUCCAUUACAGGCCGUCUCGUGUACUUAACUAUGAGUACAUUAUGUACUCAUAUACUAGUCUCUGAAAUGUAUUUUACCAUCAUUUUUAAUACAAAUAUGCAAAUGUUGAUGUUACCUUUUGUUUUUGUUCAUGCAUUGUAACAUUAGUUUUCUGCACUUUUAAAAUAAAUAUAUUUGUUCCUCAGUUGUGUGC
ensembl:lncRNA